CCAUUUAUAAACUUAGUCAAAAUAAGUCAAAAGCUACCAAAGUGAGUGCUGGAUAGUGUGAUAGAACUCUUCCAAGCUUCCAAUCGAUCGAGCUUUCGAUGAUUUAUGAAACAGAAGAAAAAUAACUACGUAAGAAAUUCGUGCUUAGUAAGCUCGUAAAAGAGAAACUUAAACUUACCAUUUCCCCGCAUUUAAACAUUCAAUCAUGCUUAGUAGUUCAUACAAUUACUUGAUAUUCCUAUUCAACA
rnacentral:lncRNA from 1 species